rnacentral:rRNA from 1 species
GGGGAUUAGUGGCGAACGGGUGAGAAACACGUGAGUAACCUGCCCUUGACUCUGGGAUAAGCCUGGGAAACUGGGUCUAAUACCGGAUACGACCAUCUGGCGCAUGUCAUGGUGGUGGAAAGCUUUUGUGGUUUUGGAUGGACUCGCGGCCUAUCAGCUUGUUGGUGGGGUAAUGGCCUACCAAGGCGACGACGGGUAGCCGGCCUGAGAGGGUGACCGGCCACACUGGGACUGAGACACGGCCCAGACUCCUACGGGAGGCAGCAGUGGGGAAUAUUGCACAAUGGGCGCAAGCCUGAUGCAGCGACGCCGCGUGAGGGAUGACGGCCUUCGGGUUGUAAACCUCUUUCAGUAGGGAAGAAGCGAAAGUGACGGUACCUGCAGAAGAAGCGCCGGCUAACUACGUGCCAGCAGCCGCGGUAAUACGUAGGGCGCAAGCGUUAUCCGGAAUUAUUGGGCGUAAAGAGCUCGUAGGCGGUUUGUCGCGUCUGCUGUGAAAGACCGGGGCUCAACUCCGGUUCUGCAGUGGGUACGGGCAGACUAGAGUGCAGUAGGGGAGACUGGAAUUCCUGGUGUAGCGGUGAAAUGCGCAGAUAUCAGGAGGAACACCGAUGGCGAAGGCAGGUCUCUGGGCUGUAACUGACGCUGAGGAGCGAAAGCAUGGGGAGCGAACAGGAUUAGAUACCCUGGUAGUCCAUGCCGUAAACGUUGGGCACUAGGUGUGGGGGACAUUCCACGUUUUCCGCGCCGUAGCUAACGCAUUAAGUGCCCCGCCUGGGGAGUACGGCCGCAAGGCUAAAACUCAAAGGAAUUGACGGGGGCCCGCACAAGCGGCGGAGCAUGCGGAUUAAUUCGAUGCAACGCGAAGAACCUUACCAAGGCUUGACAUGAACCGGAAAGACCUGGAAACAGGUGCCCCGCUUGCGGUCGGUUUACAGGUGGUGCAUGGUUGUCGUCAGCUCGUGUCGUGAGAUGUUGGGUUAAGUCCCGCAACGAGCGCAACCCUCGUUCUAUGUUGCCAGCGCGUUAUGGCGGGGACUCAUAGGAGACUGCCGGGGUCAACUCGGAGGAAGGUGGGGACGACGUCAAAUCAUCAUGCCCCUUAUGUCUUGGGCUUCACGCAUGCUACAAUGGCCGGUACAAAGGGUUGCGAUACUGUGAGGUGGAGCUAAUCCCAAAAAGCCGGUCUCAGUUCGGAUUGGGGUCUGCAACUCGACCCCAUGAAGUCGGAGUCGCUAGUAAUCGCAGAUCAGCAACGCUGCGGUGAAUACGUUCCCGGGCCUUGUACACACCGCCCCCUUUCUCUAAAGUUGGUAACACCC